CUGUAAUUUUAUUAACAACAAGUAAAUCCACGCUAGGAGAAUUAGUAAUGUGUCAGGAGAAAUUAGUACAAGAAGCCGUGGAUACACUUCUUGAUAAUGGAAUCCGUGGACAACCAAUGAGGGACGGUCAUAAUAAAGUUUACAAGUCAUUUUCAGAUGUAAUUGAAGGCAAAGAGGGAAGAUUUCGGGUUCAAGCUUUCCCCAGCCCCUUCUCAUCAAUGGACUCCUGACGUAUACGAAGGAGUGCGGUUCGUUCGAGAAAUUCCUACCUCUCUAUCUAUCUAGGAGAUGUUUGGAUUUUUCAAAACUCCAUGGACAUGCAGAAGAGAAAUGCUGUCCCCACUCGGACCCCCUUACUGCCACUCUACAGAAUCGUACAUGAGAUUUUCACCUCAUACGGCUCCUCGUUUAAUUCUUUCGAAUUCAUUGGAUCCUUUUCCGCGUUCGAGAAUCCCCUCUCUUCUUCCACUCUGUCCCGAAGAGUAACUAGGACCCCCCGACUGAUUCUACCAUAGAGGCCGACGAUAGACAAUAACUCCCCCCCCCCUCGAACACAGCUUACAACUUUCAUCGUACUGUGCUCUCCAAAGAGCAACUCUUUUCAAAAUCUCAAUCAAAAGGUGCUGAGUUGGAAUCUCAUUCUAACUAAGGAUUCUUGUGGUUCCGGAGGUUCCAGGCACAGGAGAACCAGGAACGGAGAGCUUUCCCCCCUUUCUGUCCGACUCUUUGGUCUUAAGAACGCUGAUUUUAAGAAUGAGUGAUUGUCCUUCUCCGACCCUUAUUGCCUAGUCGGAAUUUGACUGAUUGAUUGAUUUAUUCCCUUUUUACAUAAGGAAGAAGAAAACUUACUUUUAGAGGACAAUCAACACACGGUUCCUUUAUCCCCUCUUACCUUUCACGAUAAAUUGGAUAAACUCAGAAAAAACAAAAAAAAAACAAAAAAAAGCAUUGAAAUCGAUUUUUAUUGACCAAUCAGAAUUCUCUCCCAGGGUCUAUAAUUGCCUCAAAAGGUCCAAUAAUGUAUCAAUUUACUAAAUAUCUAUUAAAUAAUAUCCA
rnacentral:lncRNA from 1 species